rnacentral:lncRNA from 1 species
AUGCACCACGAGGGCGUUCACCAUCAGCAGUAUCUCCAUUAUAAAAACCACCACGACGGCCACCGCGACCACGAGGUCCACCAUAUCCACCACGUUUUUCUGUCGUCCUUCCAGUUUCUCCAUCUUCAGGGUUACUACUAAAUGAGUACUCAUUGUUGGGAGACUCGCGAUUAAAACCACCACUGCCACGUCCUCGUCCAUAUCCACGUCCACCACGGCCACUACUACGACCUCCACGACCACCUUCAUUCUUUGCUUCCCUUACUACUCAAAGUAUUAAAAAAGAUAAUUAAAAAAAAAUCCUUUCAGAUACCCAAUGGAUAAUUGAUAACAAUUGGACAGGAAUCAAGACACUCAUAAGAACCCAAUAGAAUAAGGAAGACUCUGUUGAUAAACAAUAGCGUAAUAUGGGCAAUAUGAUACAAGACAAAGCUAUGUUCAAAAUGGAAUAAAAAAUUGACUGCAGACUACCAAGUUCUAUAUUAAGAACCAGGAAUAUUUAAAAAUACAAUACAGAGACAAACCAGUUCUUUACAACAGCCCACGAUUUGGGUAUACAUGCAAAUAUUUGUUCACACAGUCCUACAAUUUUUUCCUCCAAAACAUGACUUCUUUAGAAAAAAAUGGAAAUUUCCAUCAAGAAAUCUACGAAGAAAUCAAAUAUAUCAAUUCCUCUUCAAGGUAAAUAUUGAAAACAAGAACCUUUCAUCAAGAAAUAAUACAAAAGAACACAUAUCAAGAGCCAACCAAAACAUUUCAAUUGAACUUGUGCAUAAAUUAUACCAAUUGGAUAUCGUCAAUAUAUAUAUAUAAUAUAUAGCAAUUGCAUAGUUCCUUUAUGAAUCUUAGUGGUUUCUUGUCCUUUGAACAUAUCUCAAGCCUUAAAAUCAAUAGAGUGCAAAACCUCCAUCAUUGAUCUAAAUUGUGAGCCUUCUAAGUUUGUCCUCUUGGGUCUAAUUUUGCUCAAAAGUGAGGUGAGUAAGCUUCCCUGUUCCCACCUUGGACUUCCCUUGGGGCCGGGGUAAUUGUAAUCAAAAUAAAUAGUUUGCCUUCUUGGGACCUACUGAAAAUUCAAAAACCACAGAGAAAUGCCUUUCUUAGGGGGAAAGCUGACAUCAAUCCAAUUAGUGUUGAGUAGGAUCCCAAUCUACCUUCCUUGCAUGCUUAGAAUGCUUGUCUCAAUCAGUAAGAAAAAUGAAAGAUUCAUAAGAAACAUCUCUUGUGGGAAGGAGUAAAUAAGGGUGGGGGAGGUUGUGUCAAAAUUAGUUGAUCUAGAGGGUUUAGGCAUUGGCAACCUGAGUUUGCAUAAUGAGACUCGUUAGCAAAAUGGUUGACAUUUUUUCAUGGAGCUGAAAGUCUGUAACACAUGCAUAGCCUUCUGAGCAACUAUGGACCAUAGCCUUCUAGGUGGAGUUCAAGUUGUAGUUUUAAAUAUUCUAGCGAACACCACCAGACUGUUAUUGCUUCGAGCUUUCCUUUGCUAAUUGUUAUCCCAGUUCAAACUAUUUAGUCUACUUGAUAUUUUAGGAUACUUGGGAGGGGGGAAAACCCAUUUCCACUCACUAUUCCUUUUUUCAUUUUUUUUUUAGGAAAAGAAAAAGUGAAAGUAAUGUCUAGCAGUUCUCCAUGAUAGCUUGGAAUAGUGAGCAUGCAGGACCAUCUACCAAGGCACUCAUCUUGAUCUUACUGUUGCAACUGUAAUGGACUAAUGGCAUUCUUUGCCGGAAGUUAGAGGAGAACCUCAACCAUCUCAUGUUGGAUUGCCCCUGUUGAACAGUUCUUUCUCAAAAAAAAUUGCUUUGAUUUGGCUCAUGUUUGGGGUGACCAAGGAAAUGCUUAUGAACCCCCCCUCCUUGUUGUGAAUCGUGAUAAAUGAAUAGUUAUGUGGCAGUAGCUGGCUAGCUAUUUUUGCCAUUUUAUGAAGUACUUGGUUGGAAAGGAACAAUAGGGAGUUGGUUAUAACUCUUCAUUAUGAACAUCCGUUAAUCAGGCUUUUGUGAUUACUAACUUGGUCUCAUUCUUCGAUUGGGUCCUUUCUCACUAUUAGGACUGGGAACUCUUUUUGCAGGGUUUUUGGUAUGCCCUAAUACAUUCUUCAUAUUUCUCAACGAAAGCUAGGUUCUUUUUUAAAAGACUUGUACAUAAGUUAUCAAAAUAUUCAAAUUUUUUCAAUUGCCACACACAAAGGAAAAAUGGCAUAAUAAGAAUAAAGAAAAUACUAUCUAAACAAUGUACAGACAAAAUUCAUAACCUAGUACGUUAUAAAAUCACAACAUUGCUGACUGACACUCGAAUUUCUUCCAAAAAAAAUUUUAAAAAAUAUUGAUAACUCAAUUCCAUUUAUGUUCCAAACAUACAAACCAUUGAAUAUUAUCUGAAUUCCAAAUAAAUUUGGAAUGCAGAGCCUUGGAUUGUAGGAAUACACAAUAAAUCCCAGCCGGGUAUCGCAAAAAGUAAUUAUAUAGCCUACAAAAUUUUGACUGAAUUAAAAAUCACUCAUUCCUACGUGUAUGUAUAUAUCUAACAUCACAAAGAAAGACUUCGCACUCUCCCAUAGGCGCAAACAAUGUAACCAUGCAAACAAGCAGACAAAAAACUUUAACAAAACAACAACAAAAAUCACGGAAUGCAAAACCAAUCAACCUAGACAGGAAAACAAAAGGAAGAAAACUAUACAUCAAAAUCGAACUCUGAUAUUUACACAAUCAAUAACCUCCAAUUCAAAAAAAAAAAAAAAAAAAAAAAGAGAAAGAAACUAACCAGCCUGAGCAGGCGGAAGAGGCUUGGAAGGAAGAUUAGCAGGUUUACUCAAUUUAGCUGCCGCAGCCGCCUGUUGUUUAGCCUGAGGAUGAUCAGAACCUUUCUUAGGCGCCGCCGCAGCCUGCUUGACAGCCAUUAGCUGCGAUGGGUCCUCAGCAUCGUCAUCACCCAACAAAUCAAAUGGAUUUGUGGUCGCCAUUUCCGAACUAUAUUAAAACCAAUACCGGAAAAGUUGAAAAGAAAUUGCACUCCGUGAAAGGCGACCACGAAAUCCUACCUUAACAACAAGAACUCCAUGAUGAAUCUAUGAAGAAUAUCUGUAAAAAGAGAGAGGAGAAAAGAAAAAAAGAUCGAAUCGAAAAGCGGUAGAAACUGGGAGAAAACCCUAGCCGCAAUGGCCGAGUGAGUGUAAGUGCAAACGAAGAGCCAACUCGAUAGAUAAACGCAUAUAGUUAUUUUGCGUUGUUCGACCGUUUCUAUAUAUCCUCCCUCGUGCGGUAUCGCAACAAUAUACUAUAACUUGGGGAAUUAUCAAAAAUAGGAUAAUUUGGAAGGAUGUAAAGAGUUUUGAGAUGAAUUUUAAAAAAGAUGACUUUUAGGACAAAUUAGUUGGAAAAAGUCUAUAUUACCCUCAAGUUAAAAAAUAUCCUAAAAUCAAUUUAUGAAUCCUCUCUUCUCCUUCUCCCUCCGUUUUUUCACUUUCUAAAAAUGUUUCAUUUUUCUCUCAUCCCUCCCUCUGGUGUUCCAUUUUCCCUCAUUUUCACGAAAUUUCCUUUUUCUUCCUUUUCCAUUCUUUAAUUCGUUUUCUUGAAAUUUCUUUCUGAAGCUCUUCCCAUGGUCUCCCACCGGCCUUUGAAAACCAUUUUCUCCAUUUUCUCACUUCCAAAAAGAAUAUUUCAUUUUUCUCUCAUCUCUCUCCAUUUUCAUACAUUGUGGGAUAAAUUGGCCUUCCUAAUUCUAAGAGCAUGAAAAUGUUGCUCUCACCUGCAUUGUUGUACAUUAUAUAAAAGUUCUGCACACUUUACAAUUUUCCAAGAUAAUGAAAUAAAAAUUGCAUACCAAAAAACAAAAAUGGUAUUCAUUCCAUUAUAUAAAACUAUUUAUGUACAUAGUUUGGAACAUAUACAAUUCCUUCAAAAGUUGGAACUAAAAGUCAAUACAUGGGAUUGUUGGUCCAUAAUUGAAAUGCCAAUUGUUUUCUAAAAUAUGACAUGUUUUCUUGACAUAAUGUAGCUACAUCUAAACCAGAAGCUUCAUAUUCGAAAUACUUAAUUGUAAAUACACCACAAUCACUAUUGUUGCGUUGAAGUGGAAUGGAGUCGACAAUGACAAGUGGCCAAGGUUCCUUGUGUGUUGAUGAUCCGCCUCUCCUAACAAAGAAUCCAGUAGCAUCGAGCAAAUUUGGCACCAUCUCUUGAAUUGGCUCUAAUAUGCUUCUCAUAUCUUCGGCACUCGUCAGCGACGGAAGCGAAUCCCAUACCUUAACUUGACAACGUACCAAGUCCAAGCAUAAUAGAAUCCAAUGAUUGCCAUGGAUAUUGAAUGGAGAGUAAAUGUAAUCAACAUUCACCCAAGGAUCUUGACAGUCUUGUUUUGAUCCGACAACAUAGUCAACCUGCUUACUAAAUGUGAUAAACUACUUACUAUAGACUGAAAAUGAUGAGCAGGGUCAAUCUUGUACAUGGGACCGUUAGUUGAUGUUGAAGCCAUACUGAAACCUGCAUAAAAAAAAACUAAUUAAAUAUAAUUGCAUAAGAGACUUACUAAACAUGGAUGCACUAGCAUCUUGGGACUUCUACUCAAAAUUUUGGAAGGUGAGAGAUAGGUGCGAGAUGCUGGAAAACUUCAAGGCAAAGUUGCUAAGUCUAAUAAAAUUGCUAACCCUAAAGCCUUAACACCUAGUAGAGUAGCUAAACAUGCAUUCUAAACGGUUUAGGAAGGUUAACACUCUCAUCUUGGGACUUCUACUCAAAAUUUUGGAAGGUGAGAGAUAGGUGCUGAUAGGUGCGAGAUGCUGGAAAACUUCAAGGCAAAGUUGCUAAGUCUAAUAAAAUUGCUAACCCUAAAGCCUUAACACCUAGUAGAGUAGCUAAACAUGCAUUCUAAACGGUUUAGGAAGGUUAACACUCUCAUCUUGGGACUUCUACUCAAAAUUUUGGAAGGUGAGAGAUAGGUGCUGAUAGGUGCGAGAUGCUGGAAAACUUCAAGGCAAAGUUGCUAAGUCUAAUAAAAUUGCUAACCCUAAAGCCUUAACACCUAGUAGAGUAGCUAAACAUGCAUUCUAAACGGUUUAGGAAGUUUACACUCUUAUAUUGGGACUUCUACUCAAAAUUUUGGAAGGUGCGAGAUAGGUGCUGAUAGGUGCGAGACGAUGGAAAACUUCAAGGCAAAGUUGCUAAGUCUAAUAAAAUUGCUAGCUAAACAUGCAUUCUAAACGGUUUAGGAAGUUAACACUCUUAUAUUAGGACUUCUACUCAAAAUUUUGGAAGGUGAGAGAUGAUAGGUGCGAGAUGAUGGAAAAUUUCAAGGCAAAGUUGCUAAGUCUAAUAAAAUUGCUAACCCUAAAGCCAUAACACCUAGUAGAGUAGCUAAACAUGCAUUCUAAACGGUUUAGGAAGGUUAACACUCUCAUCUUGGGACUUCUACUCAAAAUUUUGGAAGGUGCGAGAUAGGUGCUGAUAGGUACGAGAUGAUGGAAAAAUUCAAGGCAAAGUAGCUAAGUCUAAUAAAAUUGCUAACCCUAAAGCCUUAACACCUAGUAGACUACCUAGACUAGCUAAACAUGCAUUCUAAAGAUUGUAUUCUAUUGGAACUACAUCACUAAAAACAUUAACAAAGUAGAGAACAACAAUGCAGCUUAUGAUAAUGUCUUUCAACAAAUUGCAAAGGAAAUGGUCUUUCAACAAUGCAGCUUAUGAUAUUCUAUUGUACUGGUAGCUUUGCAGAGUUUAUAUGGGGUACCAAAUAUAUGUUCGAAUUCAAGUUCUAAACUCCAAGGUAUGGUUUUUCUAUUAUUACAGUACAUUGCAAAGGAAAUGAUGGAUACGGCACUGCCAACGUAGAGGAGUGGAUAAGAAAUGGAGAGGUCCGGUGAAAACAAACCUGAAAUCGAAAUGGAUGGAAGUGGAGAAGCGUCCGCCGGAGUUGAAGUCGAAAGUAAAACAGAGACACGUGCAAUGUCAGUAGUACGACUCUCCUUCCUUGCAUUUUGAAGAUUAGUGAAUAUCCCUUCAAGGUCAUUAACACAAUUCUUUUCUUUUUCCUUCAAAACCUAAUGAGAAGUAGAUUGAUAUUUACUCUUCAAACCCUUUGGCAUUGAUCCGUCUCUUUUCUUCCACCAAAAUUAUCUUAGCAGCAACUGAAAAAAAAAGAAAUCACAAUGAAGCACCAACCCUAUAUAUAAAGUCCGUUCAGAUUGCAAAACAGAAUCUACCCAAAAGGAAAAAAAUCAUAUGGGCUUUCGAAACAAAUACAUUUCUAAUGCUACCAUUGAAUAUUCAUCCACUCCCUCUUACUCAGUUCAAAAAAUAGGAGACUGAAUUGGAAACAAGUAAAAUUGUAACCAUUAUAACGAUCAUAAAAUGAUCACAAAAUUUCACCUAAGCUAAUCCAUCCUUACCUAGGUCUCUAUUUAAAAUUUCGGCAAAAUCUUAAACAUGUUUUUCUAUCAUGUACUAAUUCACCGUGAUCUCUGUGUGCCAUCAUCAAAGAUUCGACUCUCAGUAAGCGGUCUUUUGAUUCAACCCUAAUUCACGUAUUAAAAAGGAAGAAAAACAGAAAUAAACAAAGAAUAGUUACCCACCAAAUUGCUGAAUAUUUGAGUCGAAAAUCAGAGGAAAGUUUGGAGGAAGAAGAUUAGGGGGUUUAGUUUUUUCCUUAGAGAAGUAACAAGUGUAGCUUUGGCUCUUUGUUCAGAUCUUUUCAGUUCACACCGGAGGAGCGACGAACGACAUCCGAGAAGCGAUGAUAUGCACCGAAGUAGAAGGAGAAGAAAGCGAAUGUGUGUGUGUGUGUUUUUUUUUUUUUUUUUUGCGUUUUGUUUCUGCGUUGAGGAGAAGGAAUGGAAGGUAAAAUGAAUUAAGGGUAAUUUAGACAAUUCACACAUAAUUUGUCCUAGAAAUCAACUUUUUAAAAAUCAAUCUCAUAAAUCUUUUAUUCCUCCAUUUUUGGCUUAUUUUUGUUAAUUUCCCCUAUAACUUAUAGCUUCAUUUAUUUGUUUAUUUAUGUUUUCAAAUAUUAUCUAUAAUAUAUUACAUUCCAUUUCAUAUUUAGAUAUCUAUCACUCAAACUUUAAGAUACUGUAUUUUUUAAAAAUUGAUAUGUUUUGAUCUUUAUUUUUAAAAACAUAAAAUUAAUCAUUUAACGCUAACGUCGAUUGAGAAUGAUAUUUUAGAAAGAGUUGACUAUAAAGAGUGAUGACUCACUCUUUUUAUUCACAUUUUAUUAGUUUCGUUUUCUUUUGUUAGUUAUUAUAAUUAUAAGAAACACCUGUAGACUAAUUUUCAUAUAUUACCAUUUUUCUUUAAGAAAAAAGUCCUAAGUUACUUGGUGGGUUGGUUGGAAUCUCUAACAAGAGAGACGACAAAUUUCCAUCCUUUUUUUCUCGUUCCCCCAUAAAUGAUAACUUUAUCAAGGCCUCCAUUAAUGUCAAGUUUAACAACUUCUACACUCUUUUAACUAGUGAUCUCUUCAACACAAUAACUUUAUUCAUUGUGAUGAUAUUUUUGGAAAACUUUUGAUUUAAAGGCAUCAAUCAAUGUGGAAAAAUAUUAGACCAAGAGUGAAUGAUCUAUCUUAGCUUCGUGAUUGAUCUAUCUUAGCUUCGUGAUGCGUAAGUCAUGAUCAAGGGUUAAAGAUGAAGUCAUUGAACAAGAAGUGUACGUAGAGGAAUCCAUAGCUUACAUUUAGUAUAGAAAAUCCGAGAAAUAAAACACACAAGAGAUAGUUUAAACUAACAAUUAAAAACAAACAGUGCCAAUAUGGAUCAUGCACAAGGUGUACCAAAUUGAAAGGAGCAGAGAGAUAACUAAAUUCCUUCAACAAAAUGACAAAUGUGUAGAUAAACUUAACUACUUUAAACAAACGAUUGCUUAUGAAACGGACCUUAGUUUAUUUUACAUUCAAUUAGAUACUUUCAGAAGGAAAAUUCAUUCCAUAUACUUGACAAAUAGCAAAAAGCAAUUAUCGGAACCAUUAAGAGCAACAAAUGAAAAACAAAACGCCAAAUUCAGAUGGGGAAGAAGGAAGUCCAUAAAUAAACAGUUUGAUCUGGCAAACAGUCUUGAAACAACAGUUGAAAACACACAAAGAAAGGUGGACAAGGGAAAAUACAAGGACUUUGACAAUUUACACCUAAACAAAUUAAACUUAAAAAUCAUUUUGAUACAGGAGAGACUAUAUUAUUCUAGUCAGUUUCCUGCCCCAGAUCAAAAACACAGUUUUGUAAGGGAAAAUUUAUUUGCGAAAUUUACUUCGCACCUAAGGUUGGGAACUGCCCAGGGUCUCCAAUGGAUGGGGCUGCAACAUUGCUCAUCGGGCUGCCACUGUAUCCUCCCCUUGAACCACGUCCACGACCCCUUCCUCGGCCACCAGGGGCGUAGUGACGCUCUCCGUCCGCAGGCCUCAAAAACUCGUUGAUACUCAAAGACUAAGUGAAGAAGAAAAACAUCAGUCAUUUAACCUUUUACAGGGUCUAGAACGGCCAAAACAAUGUUGUAUGGCAAGCAAAAUAAAAACUCCUUUAUGCUGAUAUGAGCCUAAUUAGAAGUUAGAACCAAAGCUUUGUAUAAGAAAAUAUUUGGAAGCAAAUUCUAUCAUUUGGAAUAAAGACUACUUUAACGCAUUAAAUUCAUUUUUUUGGAAGUCUACUAUAAUCAAAUUGAUGGAUGAUUUCAUUGCAAUCAUUUUGCCAAAUAAAACUCAUCAAAGCACAAUUUAAAAUAACCUUAGUUUCCUCUAAUAAUGGUUCUAAAAAUUGAGUAAUAUUAUCAUAUUCAAUUUCUUCCGGUCAGUCUCAGCAUGGGCUCACAAAGUAUGCCGUCACCUCUACCUACGUUAAUAGGUCAUCAGUGCAAAUUUCAACCACUGAUAUAAUAUUCUUAAAAGAAAAAGUAAUUCAAUUAAAUUUCUUAAGGUAGGUUCGGAAUAAACCAAAUAAAGAGCAUCCUAUGUGCUGGCGGACAUCAACAUUUUCAAAAUGUAAGGCUCAUGCCUCAAGGAUAGAAGGUUUCUGAAGUUAGAGUAGCCUUUAUUUAUUUUGAACAAGAGGCACGCUCCUCCAUGGUUACACUAUUGAAACGUGGAAAGCAUAUGCUUCAUACAUAAUUGACUUCGGAGAAAAUUUUAGUACUAGUGUCAGGUUGUGGGUCUGUUUAAUGGGAUGAGUGCCGAAAAGACAACAUUUAUUUGUCACUAAAACAAACAACUUGCACAUUAUCUGAAGUAUAAAACUCAAUAAUUUAUGCCUGAAAAGUAACAGGUCACACUAAAAGACAGCCAUAAUUUUGUCUUCCUUUGUAGGUGGGAAAGGUGUUUGGGGCGCUAAGAGACGAGACAACCUAAAAGGUCUGUUCUUUCUCUCGAUUUUUUUUUCCUUUCCUCGUUUACCAUUUCAUUUUUGUCUCUUUUUCUUUGUUCAUUCAAUUCAUCAAAACAACUUUGGAAAAAAUAUAGGCUCGUAGGGUCUAGAGUCUAGAGUCGCAUUGUUUAUCUUCUUGGGGCAAGGCAAAAUUUUAGUCUUUCCAGUUUCGUUUCUCCAUUAUGAGAAUGAUCUUAGAUGAAUAAUAACUCGUGAAAACUAAUGUAUAUUGAUCGGAAAUUGAGAUUUUUCAUUUUAUCUUUUACUAUGUGUUGUGUGUUAUGCAUUAAUUGUUAUGUUCAAAAUGAGAUUUAUGGCUAAAUACUUGCCCUUGCGUCACUAAGGAAAACAAAAGCUGGUGGCUGCCCUAAGACUUUUAAAAUUUUGCCAGGCGUAGGGUAAAACCCGAGUAAACAAUUUAAAAGUCAGAAAUAUUUAAAGAAGAUGAGAUAAUAAUACCUUCUUAGUUCUCUCCUCUUUAUCUGCCAUUUCUUUUCGCUUAUCCUUUUCAGAUCCCUACAAGUGGGGUAACAAAUGAGAUAAAACUGUCAAGUCCUCAUUUAAUGCAAGGCCAAGGGUCAUCAGAUCCCAUAGGGGAUAUAUCAACAGCGAAAGAGUGUUAAGUAGGUGUACCAAUUUAAUAAAUAUGUCAUUGUUGUCCUUCUUGCUUGAAAGUUGUUGCAUGGAUGCAAAUUCUUUAGGAUCCACCUUCCUCUCCUCAGUUUUUAGAGCUAGAAGGGCCUUCCUUUUAUCCUCAAGCAACUUUUCAUACUCCUCCAGAGUCAUUUCCUGCAUCGAAAAAAAAAGAGUACAUUAGAUUCAAAAUCAAGUCAAACAGUACAAAAGACUUCGCAACCCAAGCCCAUCAGAUUGAUAUACGCAUUCAAAUUUACAACUGCUACACGUAUCAAAUUUAUGCUACUAGAAGUGAAGUAAUAAAGCCUGUUCAACUUGACAUGCAAGCAAAACUACAAGUCGCUUUUCAGCCAGAAGAAAAUCAAAACAAGUGAGAUAGUAGGUCCCACAUUUAUGGGAAGUUUACUAAAAUCUGAAGAUACUAACCUUGUCUUCUGGUUCGGUUUCCUGUGGUUCUUUAGCAGGGUUCUCCGUGUUCACACCUGAUGUAUCAUCCUCUUGAAUAGGCUUUUCGUCACCCACAUUCUUUUCAGUUUCAUUAACGGUUUCCCCUGCUACCCUAAAUAUAAAACAGAAAUUUUAGGCAUAACUAGUUGUCAAGGAGAGAACAAUCUUAUUAGCAUACAAGAGAUAAUAACAUGAGCAUAAAAAUGCAACCCUCUCCCUGAAAAGAAAAAUGAAGUUAGCCAAGCUCCCCGUAUACGAUGUGGUUGAGAGCAUCUUCCACAUAUUGAGAAAGGAAUGCCUGACUAUAUAAAUUUGUCUUUCAAGCCAACCUGGCAGCUUCUAUGAGAAGGAUUGAGAAGAAGGCUCAUGUACGCACAAUUACACAUAAUACCUGGAAAAAGACAUGCAUGAAGAUUGAAGGUAUACACAUGUACUUACUCAGCAAAUUCGUCGGUUGACCUUCCCCAAUUUCCACGACCAGACCCUUCUCGUUUAAAUUCAUUUCUAGGCAUAAAAUCAGGAAUAAAGCGUCAAAACAGUGUAGAAUAUACAGCAGGAGUGUGCACAAUAAAAUUUAAAAGAACAGACAAUAGACACUUACCCACGACCAGUUCCACUGUGGCGUUCAAAUGCUCUACGAGGGCGUUCCCCUUCAGCACCUUCUCCAUCAUUGAAACCACCUCGACGGCCACCACGACCACGAGGCCCACCAUAUCCACGUCUUUCAGAUGUCUUACCACCCACUCCAUCUUCAGGUGCAUUAAUGUUCUCAUUAUUGGUAGAGUCUCGAUUAAACCCACCACCCUCGCGACCUCGCCCAUACCCAUAUCCCCGUCCUCCACCUCGUCCACUGCCACGACCUCCA